UACGUAGGGGGCUAGCGUUGUCCGGAUUUAUUGGGCGUAAAGAGCGUGUAGGCGGCCAGAUAGGUCUGCUGUGAAAACUCGAGGCUCAACCUCGAGAUGUCGGCGGAAACCAUUUGGCUAGAGUCCGGGAGAGGAAAGUGGAAUUCCUGGUGUAGCGGUGAAAUGCGUAGAUAUCAGGAGGAACACCGGUGGUGUAGACGGCUUUCUGGACCAUAACUGACGCUGAGACACGAAAGCGUGGGUAGCAAACAGG
rnacentral:rRNA from 1 species